rnacentral:rRNA from 1 species
GACGAACGCUGGCGGCGUGCUUAACACAUGCAAGUCGAACGGAAAGGCCCUGCUUUUGUGGGGUGCUCGAGUGGCGAACGGGUGAGUAACACGUGAGUAACCUGCCCUUGACUUUGGGAUAACUUCAGGAAACUGGGGCUAAUACCGGAUAGGAGCUCCUGCUGCAUGGUGGGGGUUGGAAAGUUUCGGCGGUUGGGGAUGGACUCGCGGCUUAUCAGCUUGUUGGUGGGGUAGUGGCUUACCAAGGCUUUGACGGGUAGCCGGCCUGAGAGGGUGACCGGCCACAUUGGGACUGAGAGACGGACCAGACUCCUACGGGAGGCAGCAGUGGGGAAUAUUGCACAAUGGGGGGAAGCCUGAUGCAGCAACGCCGCGUGCGGGAUGACGGCCAUCGGGUUGUAAACCGCUUUCGCCUGUGACGAAGCGUGAGUGACGGUAAUGGGUAAAGAAGCACCGGCUAACUACGUG